rnacentral:rRNA from 1 species
AUUGAACGCUGGCGGCAGGCCUAACACAUGCAAGUCGAACGGUAACAGGAAGCAGCUUGCUGCUUUGCUGACGAGUGGCGGACGGGUGAGUAAUGUCUGGGAAACUGCCUGAUGGAGGGGGAUAACUACUGGAAACGGUAGCUAAUACCGCAUAACGUCGCAAGACCAAAGAGGGGGACCUUCGGGCCUCUUGCCAUCGGAUGUGCCCAGAUGGGAUUAGCUAGUAGGUGGGGUAACGGCUCACCUAGGCGACGAUCCCUAGCUGGUCUGAGAGGAUGACCAGCCACACUGGAACUGAGACACGGUCCAGACUCCUACGGGAGGCAGCAGUGGGGAAUAUUGCACAAUGGGCGCAAGCCUGAUGCAGCCAUGCCGCGUGUAUGAAGAAGGCCUUCGGGUUGUAAAGUACUUUGCAGCGGGGAGGAAGGCGAUAAGGUUAAUAACCUUGUCGAUUGACGUUACCCGCAGAAGAAGCACCGCUAACUCCC